GUGCUCACUUUUUGCAGCACAUAUACUAAAAUAGGAAUGAAGCAGAGAAGAUUAACAUGGCAUCUGCUCAAAGAUGAAAUGCAAAUUCAUGAAGCAUUGUAUAUUUUU